GACGAACGCUGGCGGCGUGCUUAAUACAUGCAAGUCGAACGGUGAAGGGACCAGCUUGCUGGUCUUGGGUGAGCGGCGAACGGGUGAGUAACACGUGAGUAACCUGCCUCCUUCUCCUGGAUAACCGCGUGAAAGUGUGGCUAAUACGGGAUAUUCUGGUUCUGUCGCAUGUCCGGCCCGGGAAAGCUAUUGUUCCGGCGGGGGUUGGGAUCGCGGCCUAUCAGCUUGUUGGUGGGGUGAUGGCGUAUCAAGGCGGGGACGGUUAGCCGCCCUGGGAGGGGGGACGGUCACACUGGGACUGAGACACGGACCAGACUGCUACGGAAGGGAGCAGUGGGGAAUAUUGCAGGAUGGGCGCAAGCGUGGUGCAGCGACGCCGCGUGAGAGAGGGAGGCGAUCGGAUUGUAAACCUCUUACGGAAGAGAAGCAGGCCAGGUCCUUGUGCGUGGGUUGACGGUAGCUGGUUAAGAAGCGCCGGCUAACUACGUG
rnacentral:rRNA from 1 species